AGAGCGAACGCUGGCGGCAGGCCUAAACAUGCAAGUCGAACGGACCCUUCGGGGUUAGUGGCGGACGGGUGAGUAACACGUGGGAACGUGCCUUUUGGUUCAGAACAACUCAGGGAAACUUGAGCUAAUACUGAAUAAGCCCUACGGGGGAAAGAUUUAUCGCCAUUAGAGCGGCCCGCGUCUGAUUAGCUAGUUGGUGAGGUAAAGGCUCACCAAGGCUACGAUCAGUAGCUGGUCUGAGAGGAUGAUCAGCCACACUGGGACUGAGACACGGCCCAGACUCCUACGGGAGGCAGCAGUUAGGAAUCUUGCGCAAUGGGCGAAAGCCUGACGCAGCCAUGCCGCGUGAAUGAUGAAGGUCUUAGGAUUGUAAAAUUCUUUCAGUGGGAAGAUAAUGACUGUACCCACAGAAGAAGCUCCGGCUAACUUCGCGCCAGCAGCCGC
rnacentral:rRNA from 1 species